UACGUAGGGUGCGAGCGUUAAUCGGAAUUACUGGGCGUAAAGCGUGCGCAGGCGGUUGUGUAAGACAGGUGUGAAAUCCCCCGGGCUUAACCUGGGAACUGCGCUUGUGACUGCACAGCUAGAGUAUGGCAGAGGGGGGGUGGAAUUCCACGUGUAGCAGUGAAAUGCGUAGAGAUGUGGAGGAACACCGAUGGCGAAGGGCACCCCCCUGGG
rnacentral:rRNA from 1 species